rnacentral:rRNA from 1 species
GAGUUUGAUCUUGGCUCAGAUUGAACGCUGGCGGCAGGCCUAACACAUGCAAGUCGGGCGGUAGAGAGAAGCUUGCUUCUCUUGAGAGCGGCGGACGGGUGAGUAAUGCCUAGGAAUCUGCCUGGUAGUGGGGGAUAACGCUCGGAAACGGACGCUAAUACCGCAUACGUCCUACGGGAGAAAGCAGGGGACCUUCGGGCCUUGCGCUAUCAGAUGAGCCUAGGUCGGAUUAGCUAGUUGGUGAGGUAAUGGCUCACCAAGGCGACGAUCCGUAACUGGUCUGAGAGGAUGAUCAGUCACACUGGAACUGAGACACGGUCCAGACUCCUACGGGAGGCAGCAGUGGGGAAUAUUGGACAAUGGGCGAAAGCCUGAUCCAGCCAUGCCGCGUGUGUGAAGAAGGUCUUCGGAUUGUAAAGCACUUUAAGUUGGGAGGAAGGGCAGUAAAUUAAUACUUUGCUGUUUGACGUUACCGACAGAAUAAGCACCGGCUAACUCUGUGCCAGCCGCCGUACGG